CCUGCCCGUCUGUUGCUACAUGAACCCUCUGUGAUGUCUGGGUAGCAGUCUACUGCCUGCCUGUUAUGUAGUUUGGCUCAUUCCAAGGUUCCCUGUCUGGAGUGGUGUGAUGUAGUGUUGCUCACAGAGCACCCUGUGUUAAGGUGGUCAGCUGCUGUUUUGCCUGAUUUUAACAAUUGCUGCUGGUACACUCUGGCUGUAGUGCCUCCAACCGGCACUCCCCUGGUUGAGUAUGCUUAUAUUAGAUAUAACCAACUGGUCCAUUGUGUUUAACUUAUUAUUCUUUUCAGUGGUGCUAGUGGUCAGCUUUUGGUGGAGGCUAGGCACGCUAGUGUGGGUUCCUUCACUGAUUGUAGUGUUAACGGCACCGGGGCACGAUUUAGUAGUGACACGAUUUGCAGUGAGAACCGGUUUGCAGUGACCACUGACUGCAGUGAGCAGUUGGUGCACCCCUGGAGCACACCCAUAGUUACACUGCCUCCCCACAGCUGGCCCUGGCCCACUCUGCCCUUUUUGUUUGGUUCAAUAAUCAGUAAUAACUGGGAGUGUUAAAAAUAAAAUAACUUGUUUGCCAAAAUUUGUAAUCUUUCAUAUUCCAUUGUAACUUGAUUAUUUGUAUUAUUCACCAUUCUCUUUCCAGGCACUUCCAGCUACCGAUAUCAAUAAGUUAUUCUUUUGGAGCCACGUCUGUCUUGUGUAGCCUUUGUAUAAAGGUUUAGUCAAAGAAGGAAAAAGAGCAUUUCCUGGGGUGGAAGUCCCCAGGUGGUGUCGGAUAGUUAGAUUCUGGUGGUGGUGAUUCCUCUUAGUGCCACCACCAGCUUGGCCACAUUAUCAUGCAACGAGCAUGGAUUAGUUCAACAUUAAGCUGAUGAAUAUUACUGUAAUGUUGCAGUUAGCCUGAGUUUCUAGCAUUUUGUAUGAAGAUGUCCGUACUGUGUCGUUCUGUUUUGGCUCACUUGUUAGUUUGCACACGCUUGGUGUAACGGGCCCUGAGGUUGUACUGCAGUCGGGACUCGCAACCUCAGGUACGGAAGGUUGACAUGCUAGCGAGGAUACUAAAAUCCAUGGAUGACAGCAUCAGGCGCUCUGAAGGCGUCGGGAGUGAGGUUAACUCGCUGCACAGCCUAGCUGGCUACCAUUGCAUUGGAAGGUAGUGGUUGCAAUCUAAAACCUCACUGCUAGAGGCCACUAAACUACAAAUUGCCAACAAAUUGCAUGUGCUUUUUGAUAAUGGUAUGAAUAUGAAGAUAUUCUUAGUCUCUAUCUGAAGUUGUAACUCUUUUCUCAAUGCUGAGUAGAUUGUCUACCUUUAUCACUUGUGUUGUGCCUUGUGUUUUUGUAUCUGUUCUGUUUGUAAUGCAUCUCAGGUCUCAUGUCUAAACUUCACUGUAUGUAUGAAGCAAGCAUCAAUUUGAAAAGUGAAUCAAAAGUUGUUCAGUGUUCACAUGAUGACCUCUGACCUUGAAUCUCAUCUUGGACAACAGCUAUGAGGCAUUGCGGUAAUGGAGCCGGGGAUGAGAUGAUCACCAGCAGGCUCAAGUCCCUGUUCUUUGGCCUUUGAAGGCCCAUGGUCACUCCAGAGAGGACAAGUACACUUGAAGCACCAGUGUUGUGUUCCAUAAUACUUCUACAGUGAGAGACAUGCUGCCAUGACAAAUCCCAAAGAUCAAAUUAUGGGACCUGUCAAAACAUUUCUCCUUAACUCGGCAAGCAAAUAAACAUUCUUUGGAUGUUUUAUUUAACCACUUCCUUACUAUAUUUAAAUUCUCAAGCGCUCUGGCUGUGGAUUGUUCCUAAUGUAAUGUUUAGCAACGCUAGCUAACUUACUACUGAAUGUAAUGUUAAUAUAACCCUGUUUUGCUUUUUAAUGAUUGUUCUAGUGAAGAGACCUACCCAGCUGUAAAGGAACAGUAUUGAUCCUUAAAAUUAAUCUGUAGUCUUUUGUCUUUAUAUUUCACUUCAGUGAAUAAAACCUUCAAAUGCACAAUGCCACUGCAAAA